rnacentral:rRNA from 1 species
AUACGGAGGGUCCAAGCGUUAUCCGGAAUCAUUGGGUUUAAAGGGUCCGCAGGCGGUCAAUUAAGUCAGAGGUGAGAGCCCAUCGCUCAACGAUGGAACUGCCUUUGAUACUGGUUGACUUGAGUUAUACGGAAGUAGAUAGAAUAAGUAGUGUAGCGGUGAAAUGCAUAGAUAUUACUUAGAAUACCGAUUGCGAAGGCAGUCUACUACGUAUAUACUGACGCCGAGGGACGAAAGCGUGGGGAGCGAACAGGAUUAGAAACCCCAGUAGUCC